rnacentral:tRNA from 1 species
GGCCCCAUCGUCUAGCCAGGCCUAGGACACCAGGUUUUCAUCCUGGCGACAGGGGUUCGAAUCCCCUUGGGGUCACCA